UACGUAGGGCGCAAGCGCUGUCCGGAAUUAUUGGGCGUAAAGAGCUCGUAGGCGGCCUGUUGCGUCCGCUGUGAAAUCCCGGGGCUCAACCCCGGGCCUGCAGUGGAUACGGGCUGGCUAGAGGCAGGCAGGGGAGAACGGAAUUCCUGGUGUAGCGGUGAAAUGCGCAGAUAUCAGGAGGAACACCGGUGGCGAAGGCGGUACUCUGGGCCUGUACUGACGCUGAGGAGCGAAAGCGUGGGGAGCGAACAGG
rnacentral:rRNA from 1 species